rnacentral:tRNA from 2 species
GCCCCAGUAGUGUAGCCCGGCCCAGCAUCUAGGCCUUUCGAGUCUAAGACCCGGGUUCAAAUCCCGGCUGGGGCACCA